AUUGAACGCUGGCGGCAUGCUUUACACAUGCAAGUCGAACGGUAACAGGGGAGCUUGCUCCCGCUGACGAGUGGCGAACGGGUGAGUAAUGCAUCGGAACGUGCCGAAUAGUGGGGGAUAACGCACCGAAAGGUGUGCUAAUACCGCAUACGCCCUGAGGGGGAAAGUGGGGGACCGCAAGGCCUCACGCUAAUCGAGCGGCCGAUGUCGGAUUAGCUAGUUGGUGGGGUAAAGGCUCACCAAGGCGACGAUCCGUAGCGGGUCUGAGAGGAUGAUCCGCCACACUGGGACUGAGACACGGCCCAGACUCCUACGGGAGGCAGCAGUGGGGAAUUUUGGACAAUGGGGGAAACCCUGAUCCAGCCAUGCCGCGUGUCUGAAGAAGGCCUUCGGGUUGUAAAGGACUUUUGUCCGGGAGGAAACCCUGAUCGUUAAUAGCGGUCGGGACUGACAGUACCGGAAGAAUAAGCACCGGCUAACUACGUGCCAGCAGCCGCCGUAAGAC
rnacentral:rRNA from 1 species